GACAGAGGGUGCAAACGUUGUUCGGAAUUACUGGGCGUAAAGCGCGUGUAGGCGGCCCUGCAAGUCGGAUGUGAAAUCCCACGGCUCAACCGUGGAAGUGCAUUCGAAACUGCAGGGCUAGAGUCCUGGAGAGGAAGGUGGAAUGCUUGGUGUAGAGGUGAAAUUCGUAGAUAUCAAGCGGAACACCGGUGGCGAAGGCGGCCUUCUGGACAGUGACUGACGCUGAGACGCGAAAGCGUGGGGAGCAA
rnacentral:rRNA from 1 species